rnacentral:lncRNA from 1 species
GGACACUGACAGAUGAGUGGUGUAGUUCUGUGCCUGGGAACCAAACCAGGGCCACCAAAGCAGAGGAUGCUGAACUUAACCACUAGGCCACUGGGACUGGCCCUCUAUCUCUUUACUUUUAAUCUGUGUCUUUAUAUUUAAAGCAGGUUGCUUAUAGAUUGCAUAUCACUGGGUCUUAUUUUUUUAUCCACUCUGUCAAUCUCUGUCUUUUAAUUGGUGUAUUUAAACUAUUCAUAUUUAAAGGGAUGACCUGUAUAGUUGAAUUAAUGUCCAUAAUAUUUGAAUCUCUUCUCUACUUGUUGCACUUGUUCUUUGUUUCUUUUUUGAUCUUUCACUAUCUUUCUACCUUCUUUAGCUUUAAUGGAGCAUUUUUAAUAUUCCAUUUUUUUCUCUCUUAGCAUAUCAAGUAUUCUUUUUUAAAAUUUUUUAAUGAUUGCCCUAGAGUUUGAAAUAUACAUUUACAACUAAUCUAAGUUUAAAAUAGUGUGAUAUCACUUCAUGGGUAGUUCAGAUACUUUAUAAGAGUAUUCGCAAUUCCUUCCUCCCAUCCCUUAUAACAUUGCUGUCAUUCAUUGCACCUUUCCCUAAGCUAUGUUUACUCAGGUUACCCAAUAUAUUGGUGCUGUUAUCAUUUCAACAAAUACAUAUAUUGGAUCAAUUAAAAACUUAAAAUUAAAGGUUUUAGUUUACCUUUAUUUAUUCUUCCUUCAGUGCUCUUCUUUUUUUGUGUAGAUCUCAGUUUCUGACCUGUUUUCCUCUCUCUGAAGAACACCUUUAAUGUUCUUGCAAGGCAGACCUCCUGGCAGAAAAUUCAGUUUUUGUUUGUCUGAGAAAGUCUUUAAAUUCCCUUCACUUUUGAAGGACAAUUUUACUGGAUACAAAAUUCUAGUUUGGCCAAUUUCUAUUGACAUACCUUCAAGAUCGCUGAUUCUUUCCUCUGCCUUGCCCAGUCUACUGCACUUCCCAGGCCCUCCACUACGGUGUUGUAUAGAAGUGGUUGGAGAUGUCAGCCUUGAUGUGUUUCUGAUCUUAGAGGAAAGCAUUACAUCUUCCACCAGCAAAUACAAUGUUUCAUCACAGAUACCCUUUAUCAACACAGAUACUACCAAGACUGGAACUGCAGACAGUCUGCUCAUAGCCAGCUGCCUGAAGCCAUUGUCUCCUAAUUCUGCUUAUCCUGGGAUACCAUCCUGAUAGCUCUGCCUGCCCACACUCAGCAAUAUCAUGUCGUUUGUAUACACAACUGCAGAUGACAUGCUGAAUUUUUCCAAAUGCUUUUUCUCUGUCUUUUGAAGAUGUCAUAUGGUUUUCUCCUUUUUUCUAUUAAUAUGGUGAAUUAUAUUCUUUUGUUCACAUGUUAAACCAGAUAGGCUUUAUUUGUUUCUAGGAGAAACCUUAUUUUAUCAUGAUAUGUUAUACUUUUACAUACUGUUGUAGUCAAAUUGCUGAAGUUUUAUUUUAUUUUAUUUUAAAGAAUUUUUAAAUCCCUGUUUACAAGGAAUAUUGAUCUGUGUUUUCUUAUGAUGUCUUUGUCAGGUUUGGGAUUGAAAGUAAUAAAGACUUCCUAAGACAAUUGAGAAGUAGUCCUUCCUCUGUUUUCUGAAAGACAAUGUGUAGAGUUGGAAUUAUUUCUUCUUCAAGUGUUUGAUAGAAUUAACUUAUGAAACCAACUUAACUUCAAGUUUCUUUGUGGGAAGACUUUCUACUAAAAUUGAAUUUCUUUAAUAAUUAGUAAGCUACUAAUAUUUUCUAUUUCUUCCUUGGAUCAGUUUUGGUAAUUUGCAUCUUUCAAGAAAUUUAUCCCUUCCCUCUCUGUUGUCUGAUUUAAUGUCACGAUGUUAUAAUUCAUUCAUGAUUUUAUUAUGUCUUUAGGAUCUUCAGUGAUCUU